rnacentral:lncRNA from 1 species
GCAGGUGUAAAGUCCCAUGCUCACGUGGUGCUGGCCAGCAAACCCAGAUCUCCCUGCAUGCUAGAGAAACACUUCACCACAUCAUCUACAGACGCAGCCAAAUUUCCUUUCAAGGACAUGCCCAUCCUCUGAGAGUCCAACCCUAUGUUGAUUUUCCUCGUGACAGCGGGAUAUUUCAGCUCGGUGAUUACUCAGGUCACCCAGAGAGCUUAUUUGAUCCAAAGCUGCUGUAUCAGUCACCAGGCCUGAGUCAGAGCUUGGACAGGGCACAGCUGUAGCUCCCUGAACGGCAAAUACCUUGCCAUAGCGGUUGCUGGGGAAAUAUGUCGGAAACCUGUCUUCAGAGCUUGCUGGGAAUCUGCUGGGUGAGGUGCUGGGGAACGCUGUGGAUAGUGAGGAUAGAGGACAUUUCACUGGAGACACUUCACUGCGAAACCGCCUGAAGGGGAGCUGGCCAGGGCCACUGUGUGCAGUAUAGACAAGUGUGGCCGAAGCUGCCCAUGCAGAUAGAUUAGGGUCUCGGCAGCUGCACUGAACAAAGUGAGCCUUAGUAACCGCAGAUCCGAAUUAUUGAAUUCAUGCAUGCCUCCCGUCUUGACCACGGUAGCCACAUUUUGUGUGUACAGGAACAGUGAGACUUGCAUGGUCCUGGCUAGACAAAGAGACUGCUGAUCUCUAUGGUGACCAAGCUGGCCAGUACCUGCCUCCCUGCAGUGGGAGCCCUCCCAUGACUUUUCUGUGCAGUGUGGCUAUCGGUAUCCACUCGAGAGAAACCCAUCCACCCACACCCGCCUUCCCUAACGUCCCGGCCACAGACUGUCUUACUCCCUCCAUGCCUCUGACCCUUCAGGCCAAACAAUUUGUAACCGUGAGUGGAGUGGCUUUGAGCCGUCCUUCUGGCCACCUCUAACACUAGACAAACAUGCCUUCACUGUGCACUGCUGGGAGGGUUUCCCUUCACUGUCAUCCUCCAGGGGCCACAGAACUGCCCCCAUCCCCAGCGCUGCUGUCUACUCAUGAGCAGCUACAGCAACUGUAUGCACCGGCUUCUAAGACGGCUGUUUCUCUUUCUCAGACAGUGUAUUUAAACGCACUGGUCUCUAAAAUAACCAGGUAUUGUCUAAAAUGUCCUUCUGUGAGAAUCUUCUCUUCCCCAAACAACUCUAGACUUGUGGUUCCUGAAACUCCGGGCCAACAGCAAGUUCCACUGCCUUAACUUCUGAACACCGGUAAAAUACUUCCACAACUCCUGGGACGUUGUUUGGAAUUCAGAAUGACUCAUUUACACACUGACUCUCUACAAGAAAUGCAUUCAAGAACAUAUGAUGUCGCUCACGGAUCAGAGCCAUCUGACGGCAGGAUUUGGAGGACACCUCUGAAAGGGCCCCAGAACAGAAGAAAACUGGCCCUGAUGUCCACGCUCAAAGUGCAAGC